GCAGGGUUUUGGAAAUCUUCACACACACAGAAAAGGCAAUUCAGCGUUUUUCUUGGCAAGUUUGCCUUGCAGGAUGCCAAGUGCAAGAUGGCUCAGCACAAAAGCUGCUGUUCAUCCUCCCCACAUUCCUGCUGUCCACGCCUCCCUCCUGCCUGGAGACAACGGGGACAUUUGAGGAUGCUUCAGAGUGCUCCAGUGCAGAGAGGCAACCCUGAGAUCACCCAGUGAGCACAAGGAACUGGAGCAGUGAGAACUCGGGAGAGAAGGGGGGCAAGAAGAAGAUAAAACACCAAGAAAGGAAGGUGAAAUAACCACACGCAGAAUUAACAUCGAAUAAAGGCACAAGGCAGCCAGAAGAAAAAGAGCAAGGAAACAGCAACUAAAGGAUAUUACAAGCAAAGGAAUUUGGGAAGGUUUUCCUUCUUUUCCUUCUGGUUUUUGUUUUGUUUUGUUUUUUUUUUUUUUAAACCU